GCAAGUCGAACGGUAACAGCAGAGCUUGCUCUGGCUGACAAGUGGCGGACGGGUGCGUAACGCGUAUACAACCUACCUUAUACAGAGGGAUAGCCCAGAGAAAUUUGGAUUAAUACCUCAUAGUAUUACAAUUUCGCAUGUUAUUGUAAUUAAAACUCCGGUGGUAUAAGAUGGGUAUGCGUGACAUUAGCUAGUUGGUGUAGUAACGGUGCACCAAGGCGACGAUGUCUAGGGGUUCUGAGAGGAUGAUC
rnacentral:rRNA from 1 species